UGGGGUACAAAAGAAUUCUUCCGAGGCUC
rnacentral:piRNA from 1 species